rnacentral:rRNA from 1 species
GAUGAACGCUAGCGACAGGCUUAACACAUGCAAGUCGAGGGGCAGCACGAUUGAAGCUUGCUUUAAUUGGUGGCGACCGGCGCACGGGUGAGUAACGCGUAUGCAACCUACCCAUCAGAGUGGGAUAACCCGGCGAAAGUCGGACUAAUACCGCAUAAAACAGGGAUCCCGCAUGGGAAUAUUUGUUAAAGGAUUAAUUGCUGAUGGAUGGGCAUGCGUUCCAUUAGAUAGUUGGUGAGGUAACGGCUCACCAAGUCUGCGAUGGAUAGGGGUUCUGAGGGGAAGGUCCCCCACGCUGGUACUGAGAAACGGACCAGACUCCUACGGGAGGCAGCAGUGAGGAAUAUUGGUCAAUGCGCGAGAGCCUGAACCAGCCAAGUCGCGUGAAGGAUGACUGCCCUAUGGGUUGUAAACUUCUUUUAUUGGGGAAAAAUGGGUGGGACGUGUCCUGCAAGCGAGUGUACCCUAUGAAUAAGCAUCGGCUAACUCCGUGCCAGCCGCCGCGGUAA